rnacentral:piRNA from 1 species
UUGUAAUGCUGUAUAUACACCCAAUUCUA